rnacentral:rRNA from 1 species
UACGUAGGUGGCAAGCGUUAUCCGGAUUUAUUGGGCGUAAAGGGAACGCAGGCGGUCUUUUAAGUCUGAUGUGAAAGCCUUCGGCUUAACCGGAGUAGUGCAUUGGAAACUGGGAGGCUUGAGUGCAGAAGAGGAGAGUGGAACUCCAUGUGUAGCGGUGAAAUGCGUAGAUAUAUGGAAGAACACCAGUGGCGAAAGCGGCUCUCUGGUCUGUAACUGACGCUGAGGCUCGAAAGCGUGGGUAGCAAACAGG